rnacentral:rRNA from 1 species
GACGAACGCUGGCGGCGUGCCUAAUACAUGCAAGUUGAGCGAUGAAGAUUGGUGCUUGCACCAAUUUGCAGAGCAGCGAACGGGUGAGUAACGCGUGGGGAAUCUGCCUUUGAGCGGGGGACAACAUUUGGAAACGAAUGCUAAUACCGCAUAACAACUUUAAACAUAAGUUUUAAGUUUGAAAGAUGCAAUUGCAUCACUCAAAGAUGAUCCCGCGUUGUAUUAGCUAGUUGGUGAGGUAAAGGCUCACCAAGGCGAUGAUACAUAGCCGACCUGAGAGGGUGAUCGGCCACAUUGGGACUGAGACACGGCCCAAACUCCUACGGGAGGCAGCAGUAGGGAAUCUUCGGCAAUGGACGAAAGUCUGGCCGAGCAACGCCGCGUGAGUGAAGAAGGUUUUCGGAUCGUAAAACUCGGUUGGUAGAGAAGAACGUUGGUGAGAGUGGAAAGCUCAUCAAGUGACGGUAACUACCCAGAAAGGGACGGCUAACUACGUG